rnacentral:rRNA from 1 species
UACGUAGGGAGCAAGCGUUGUUCGGAUUUACUGGGCGUAAAGGGCGCGUAGGCGGCAAUUCAAGUCAUCUGUGAAAUCUCCGGGCUUAACUCGGAACUGUCAGAUGAUACUGCUUUGCUAGAGUGCAGAAGGGGCAAUCGGAAUCCUUGGUGUAGCGGUGAAAUGCGUAGAUAUCGUUUGGAACGCCAAUGGUGAAAACAGCUCGCUGGGGGUGCGCUGACACUGAGACACGAAAGCCAGGGGAGCAAACGGG